ACCCUUCCGGUUGCAGCCUGAGAAAUCAGGCUGAGGCUGGUGACUUUUUGGUCACCAGCCU
rfam:Raoultella planticola strain GCSL-DIFS-295 CFSAN029441_contig1022, whole genome shotgun sequence.